GUAGGGAAUAUUGGACAAUGGGGGCAACCCUGAUCCAGCGACGCCGCGUGAGUGAUGAAGGCCUUCGGGUCGUAAAGCUCUGUUGCAGGGGAAGAACACAAUGACGGUACACUGCUAGAAAGGAUCGGCUAACUUCGUGCCAGCAGCCGCGGUAAGACGAGGGAUCCUAGCGAUGUUCGGAAUUAUUGGGCGUAAAGCGGGUGCAGGUGGCUUGGUAAGUCAGAUGUGAAAGCCUGGGGCUUAACCCCAGAAGUGCAUUUGAUACUGCGGAGCUUGAGUGCUGGAGAGGCUAUUAGAAUGCCUGGUGUAGUGGUGAAAUACGUAGACAUCAGGAGGAAUACCGGAGGCGAAGGGGGAUAGCUGGCCAGACACUGACACUCAGACCCGAAAGCGUGGGGAUCAAACAGGAUUAGAAACCCGUGUAGUCC
rnacentral:rRNA from 1 species